rnacentral:rRNA from 1 species
UACAGGGGGGGCAAGCGUUGUUCGGAAUUACUGGGCGUAAAGGGUCUGUAGGUGGCUUGCUAAGUCAGACGUGAAAUCCCUCGGCUUAACCGGGGAACUGCGUCUGAUACUGGCGAGCUUGAGUGCAGGAGAGGAACGCGGAAUUCCAGGUGUAGCGGUGAAAUGCGUAGAUAUCUGGAGGAACACCGGUGGCGAAGGCGGCGUUCUGGACUGCAACUGACACUGAGAGACGAAAGCCAGGGGAGCAAACGGG